GACGUAGGGCGCGAGCGUUGUCCGGAUUUAUUGGGCGUAAAGAGCUCGUAGGCGGUGUGUCGCGUCGGCCGUGAAAAACCUGCAGCUUAACUGUGGGCUUGCGGUCGAUACGGGCAUCACUGGAGUUCGGCAGGGGAGACUGGAAUUCCUGGUGUAGCGGUGAAAUGCGCAGAUAUCAGGAGGAACACCGGUGGCGAAGGCGGGUCUCUGGGCCGAUACUGACGCUGAGGAGCGAAAGCGUGGGGAGCGAACAGG
rnacentral:rRNA from 1 species